CCUACGGGAGGCUGCAGUGAGGAAUAUUGGUCAAUGGGCUUACGCCUGAACCAGCCAAGUCGCGUGAGGGAAGACUGCCCUAUGGGUUGUAAACCUCUUUUGUCAGGGAGCAAUUGGCGCUACGUGUAGCGUUAUCGAGAGUACCUGAAGAAAAAGCAUCGGCUAACUCCGUGCCAGCAGCCGCGGUAAUACGGAGGAUGCGAGCGUUAUCCGGAUUUAUUGGGUUUAAAGGGUGCGUAGGCGGAAUGCCAAGGCAGCGGUAAAAUCGCGGGGCUCAACCUCGCGCCGCCGUUGAAACUGGCGUUCUUGAGUGGGCGAGAAGUAUGCGGAAUGCGGGGUGACGCGGUGAAAGGCAGAGUUAUCACGAAGAAC
rnacentral:rRNA from 1 species